rnacentral:rRNA from 1 species
GCGUGAGUGAUGAAGGCCUUAGGGUUGUAAAGCUCUUUUACCCGGGAAGAUAAUGACUGUACCGGGAGAAUAAGCCCCGGCUAACUCCGUGCCAGCAGCCGCGGUAAUACGGAGGGGGCUAGCGUUGUUCGGAAUUACUGGGCGUAAAGCGCACGUAGGCGGCCGAUCAAGUCAGAGGUGAAAGCCCGGGGCUCAACCCCGGAAUUGCCUUUGAGACUGAACGGCUAGCAGGUGAGAGAGGUGAGUGGAAUUCCGAGUGUAGAGGUGAAAUUCGU